rnacentral:rRNA from 1 species
GCUGGUGGCCAUACCGUGAGGGCCACACCCGUUCCCAUUCCGAACACGGCCGUUAAGCCUCACGGGCCGAUGAUACUGCGUCAGCGGGAAAGUAGGUUACUGCCAGCG